rnacentral:rRNA from 1 species
CCUACGGGAGGCAGCAGUGAGGAAUAUUGGUCAAUGGCCGGAAGGCUGAACCAGCCAAGCCGCGUGAAGGACGAAGGUGCCAAGCAUUGUAAACUUCUUUUGUCAAGGGACAAAAUCAGGCUCGCGUGCCUCACCGCGGGUACCUGAUGAAAAAGCAUCGGCUAACUCCGUGCCAGCAGCCGCGGUAAUACGGAGGAUGCGAGCGUUAUCCGGAUUUAUUGGGUUUAAAGGGUGCGUAGGCGGGCUGUUAAGUCAGCGGUAAAAGCCCGGGGCUCAACCCUGGCGAGCCGUUGAGACUGGGUGGCUUGAGAUGUCGAGAGGUAGGCGGAAUGCGCAGUGUAGCGGUGAAAUGCUUAGAUAUUGCGCAGAACUCCGAUUGCGAAGGCAGCAUACCGGCGGUGAUCUGACGCUGAGGCACGAAAGCGUGGGUAUCGAACAGGAUUAGAUACCCUUGUAGUC